UUGGGAAAUAUGAAAAAAGUAGAGGGAUACAAAAGUAAACAUAUAUUCUAUUCUCAUUCCCUCAUUUUCAUAACCCCCACGGGAAUGAGAUUCCCAUUUCUUAUUUCCAAAUUGUGUGGGACCCACACAUUUUAUUCUCAUUCCCAAAUUACAUUUUGUCAAGUAAACACACUACUAGAAAAAUAGGCUUUACUGACACUAAAUUAGUGUCAGUAAUUACUUUUCCUGACACUUGUUAAUUGUGUCAGUAAUGCUCCAGCCAGAACACACUGACACUAAUUUUUAGUGUCAGCGAUUUUUGUGUUAGUAAUUCAUGUCAUUAUGGUAUCACUAAAAUAAUGACACGAUAGCAUUAGUAUUUAAUGAUACUAUUUAGAUGUCAGUAAUUUAUGAGACUACAGUAUCAAGAGCACACUGACUCAAUAACUUCAAAAAUUAUUACUGUCAUUUUAAACAUUUAGUGUCAGUAUUUAGUGAUGUUAUGAUUCUUUUGGUUAAUAGUAUACUUUGAUUUUAAUUAUAUUUUCCUAUUUGUUUUACAACUGAAAGAAAACUCAAAAUAUAUUAAAUAUACAAAAUCUCACAACACAAUUGCAUAAGAAACAUCUCAAAUACAUCACUUAAAUUCAUAUAAUUCAACUACAUCAUUGUUUGGAAAAGAAAAAUAUAAGUACUAAAUUAAGUCUUGACAAGCUCUUAACAACCAAGUACUAAGUUAAGAUUCAACAAAUAUUAACCAACAGAAAGAAGCACAUAAUGUCAUUGAACAUCCACAAGCAGCUUCAUUUUUCUUUUCCCACCUACAAGUACAUAAAAUCAAUUAGUACACCACAAAAAAUAAUUCUUGGAUUUUUGGGAGAAAAAACAAUCAGGCCAAUUUCAGUGUUCAAAGAGACUAACAAAGAAUGGGGCAAAAACAAUACAUAGCUCUCUUAGUGCAAGCUAAUUGUAAUAGGUAGUAUUGUGAAGAAUAUUUAUCUGCUAAGAAUUGAAUUUGAGUGGAUUUUCCUACAGAUCUAUAAACAACUAAACUUAAGAAGAAUACAAAAAUAAAAAAUAAAAAAUCCUAAGGAUUAAGAAAGAUAAAUGGAGAUUUAUUAGUAUACAUCCAAAAUUAGAAACUCAUUAAACAAUCCAGGGGUAAAAAUUGAGGAAUAAGAAUAUAUGCUGCGUUUACUUUUUGGAUUGGAGUGGGAAUCUUUGGAUUAGGAGUGUGGAGUGGGAGUGAGAGUAGGGUGUUUACUUAGACUAAAUAAAAGUAUGGAUUGUCAAUCAGAAUCCUAAUUAUUUGUUUACUUUGUCUUGGAUUGGGAAUAAAUUGAUUUAAAUUACAAUUUUAUCCUUAUGUACAGAAUUAUAAUUUGU
rnacentral:lncRNA from 1 species